AGCUGGAGACUUAGGGAGGAGACGUCUUGUUCUGGUCUGAGGGUCGUGGAGCUGCAGACCCAGGGAGGAGCAAUUUUGUUGUAGUUCGAGGGUCAGGAAGCUGGCGACCCAGGGAGGAGAGGUCUUGUUCUGGUUUGAGGGUCGUGGAGCCGCAGACCCAGGGAGGAGCAAUGUUGAUGUAAGUUGAAGGUCCGGUAGCUGGCACCCUGGGGAGGAGAAGUCUUGUUCGAGUUUGAGGGUCGUGGAGCUGCCGACCCAGGGAGGAGCAAUUUUGUUGUAAUUCGAGGGUCAGGAAGCUGGCGACCCAGGGAGGAGAGGUCUUGUUCUAGUUUGAGGGUCGUGGAGCUGCAGACCCAGGGAGGAGCCAUGUUGGUUUGAAUGUUGUGGAUCUG
rnacentral:lncRNA from 1 species